rnacentral:misc_RNA from 1 species
AGACAUGGCAAGCCCGUGUGGGGAUCGGUUGAUGGAUCUGUUAAUCCAAGAUACACGACUUAAAACUCCGUUUGAGGAGGAACAUUGAUCUGAGGUGAUUUGCAGGUUGCUUAGUCCUCUUGUUCAUGUACAAAUUUUCUUCCCCAUUCCCCAACCCUAUACCUUUCAUGGUCAUUUUGCAACUAGACUCCAAAUGUGAAGAUCAUUACAAGUUAAUACUUA